rnacentral:misc_RNA from 1 species
CGAAUCGAUAUCCCGUACGCCGUUUGAACAUCAUCUAGGUUAAGUUGAAGUGAAGUCAGGGUUCUCGAAUCUCGUCUGUCUCCUAGUCCGGUUGUCGAACCCGCUCCGUUCUCCAGGAAGAAAAAGGCGUUGUUUUUUCUUCCCCCGACAGGCGACGAGGGGGAAAUUAAAGGCAGAGUCUCGUUUUUAAUCUCGGUUUGUAGAAAGAUCGCGUCGGCCCUGUGGGCAUGGGCCAGGAGGAAAUACCAACAGAUAUCCCGUUAAAGGAAAGUGCCAUUUUGUCCCUGUUUGCGGUACUCGAAAGGCCGACGGCGAAACGCGAUGGGUUUCUAGUUAUGGGUCGCGAUCCAAAGCUCGCCGGCCAGUUGUCUAUGCGACGAACCUUCUGCCUUUAAUUCCUGCUGAUGGUCGAGAAAAAAGUCCCUGUCGAAAAGGGAAAAGGAAAAUAUGAAGCCAAGGAAUUUUGAUUCAAAUGACAACUUUAAGGUCUCCAAAUCCAACAUCUGGAGUCGCGAGCUCCGAAAUCGAUUUGUCCUGAGCUCAGGGAAACGGAGCAUCACAUUCCAAAGUAUCAAUGGCCAACCGAAGCGUAACAUCAGAAGCUGCAGGAUAUCAGUCCUUGCAGCUAGGACGCCAUCUUCCUCCGAAGAUGAAGAAACGGAGAUUUAUGAGAAGCGGAGAACACAAAAUAAAAUGUGUGAUCGAAAAGAAAUAGGGAAUGUUGAUACUUCUAACAGCGGAAGCAAUAUUAGGGGAUGCAGGAUAUCUGUUUUAGCACGAAGCGGGCGCCACUAUUUGUCGGAAGAUGAAGAUGAAGAACCCAUGUUUACUCCUCCUCCACACAGCCUGCGAAAGCGCCACUGUUCAACUAAAGAAAAUCUGGCUUCUUCAUCUCGUGAAGAUGGAAUUCGUAGGAGUCAGAGACAGCGCAAGCUAAAAUAUGAAAACUGUAAUGAUUCAUGGAUAUUUGGAUCGCAGUCUCUUAAAGGGUAUCCUAGCUUGACUGAGAACAAAAAAGAACAACCUUUAGAGGAAGAGGAAGAAGAAGAGGAAGAGGAGGAGGAAGAAGAAGAAGAAGAGGAGGAGGAGAAUGUCAAUGAAGAAAAUAACCAAAGUAAAGAGAAGGCUUCAUCGAAGCAAGAGGCAGGGAUGAAGAAAGAAGCAGACAAAAAAGAAGGCUCUUCUGAUGAAGGCGAUGAGAACGAGGACAAUUAUCAAGAUAUGUACGCACGUGUGAAACAGCGCAGGCGUCAACAAAAGAACUCAGAUUCAACAGGCUCUUCUGCGGACGAUGAAGCUGUUUCCAAGAGAAGAAUAAGGACGAGGAGUGGGAAACAAAGGCAAGAGAAAAUUAAAUACCAGCUUAGAAAAACUAAGCCCACAGUUGAACGGUUUCAAAUUGCAGAGCCAUCGUCAAGAAGGCAAGUUCUACGGGAAGUAUUUGCACGGAAAAUUCACAGGAAAAGGAGAAGGUCUUCUUCUAGUUCUUCAUCUUCAGAUGGUCAUUAUGAUCGUAAUCGAGAUCGAGAACGUGAUCGGGACCGUGACCGUGAUCGUGAUAGAGAUAGGAAAAGGUCCAGAAACAGAUUGGAACUAGCCGGCGGAAACAGUAAAUCAAACACAGGAAAACUCGCUGAUGUGGACCCAAUCUCUCUAGAUCAUUCGAUCCGUUUUAGUAAUAUCGGCGGCCUGGAGAAACAUGUGUCUUGCUUAAAGGAAAUGAUCCUGUUCCCGAUUUUGUACCCAGAAAUAUUCUCUAGAUUCGGCGUAGUACCGCCGAAAGGUGUGUUGUUUCACGGCCCACCAGGUACUGGUAAAACACUGAUGGCAAGGGCACUUGCGAACGAAUGUUCCAUAGGAGAACGAAAAGUGUCAUUCUUUAUGCGGAAAGGGGCAGACUGUUUGAGUAAAUGGGUCGGUGAAUCGGAACGACAGCUCAGAAUAUUAUUCCAAGAGGCUCAUGAAGGUAGACCUUCGAUAAUCUUUUUUGAUGAACUUGACGGUUUGGCUCCUGUUAGGUCUUCUAAACAAGAUCAGAUUCAUGCCAGCAUUGUUUGCACCCUGCUUGCACUUAUGGACGGUCUUGAUAACCGGGGUGAUAUAAUCGUUAUUGGUGCAACAAACCGUAUCGAUUCAAUCGAUCCCGCAUUGCGACGUCCUGGGCGUUUCGAUAGGGAACUCCAUUUUCCCCUUCCAGGCGUUAAAGAGAGGCGGGAGAUCCUCGGAAUCCACGCCAAAUCGUGGGCAGAUGCUGGUGUUUUGAACAAGAUGGCAGAAACGACUGCGGGGUACUGCGGUUCAGACCUCAAAGCGCUCUGUACAGAAGCGGUUAUCCAGUCGCUCAAGAGAGUUUACCCACAGAUUUAUAACUCGAGCAAGAAACUUCUUCUCGAUCACAAUAAAGUCAAGGUCUCAAAAAUUGAUUUUGAACGAGCACAGCGUAGUAUAGUCCCAGCGGCACAGAGAGCAAUGUACACACUGGGAAGGAAGUUGCCUUUAUAUUUGGAACCCCUUCUCAGCCAACCUCUUGCACAAUUACUGUCGUAUGUGGGCGAUGUUUUUCCAACGGCUUUUAAUAGACUUCAUGGGUGCACAAGGGUAAAUAGAUCGCCUAGCUUACUUAUUGUAGGAGAGCAGAAGCAAACAUCUUUUCUUGCAACUUCUCUAUUGUACAAACUUGAACACUGCCCAACUCUUUCAAUAUCCCUGGAAACGCUGUAUUCUGAGUCGGCUCGAUCACCUGAGGAAACUGUGACCAAGGUUUUUAAAGAACUUCCUCAUAGUUUAGGUUCGAUCCUCUGGUUUGGAGAUAUUUCCUUAUGGUGGAGGAAUGUCUCGGAGACAGUGAAAGCCGUAUUUACAAGUCUCUCUUCUCUUUUGGAUCCUUCGCUGCCGAUCCUGUUCCUCGCUACAUCUCAGACUGGAAACACGCCAUCGGAAAUAGACCGGUUUUUUAACAAAUACAGGAAUGAGGUGUUCACGGUCGAAAGGCCGAGCAGGGAGAUGCUUGAAAACUUUUUCCGGCCCCUUUUCCGAAUGAGAGCACUGAAACCACCCCCAGUGGCUAAGAAAGAGAGGCCGCUUGAACAGCUGGCCGAAGCCCCUCCUACACCCCCUCCAAAGCUAACAAAAGAACAGCUCGAGCAUCUUCACAACGAGGAAGAAAACACUCUUCGUGAAUUGAGAAUUUUUCUCAGACAAAUUUGCGCUAAACUCGCUCGCAAUAAACAAUUUUACAUGUUCUCCAAACCCGUUGAUACUGAAGAGGUUCCAGAUUAUUUACAAGUAAUUCAAGAGCCGAUGGACCUUGAGACUAUGAUGACCAAAAUUGACCUUCAUAAAUAUACUUGUGCUGAAGAUUUUCUUAAAGAUAUCGAUAUGAUAUGUGCAAAUGCUCUCGAGUACAACCCAGACAGAGAUCCUGCUGAUAAAUUGAUCCGGCACCGAGCUUGUUAUCUUCGCGACACGGCAUAUGCACUUAUUAAAGCCGAAAUGGACUCGGAUUUUGAAGUGAACUGUCGAAGCAUACGCGACGCUCGGAAGGGAAGGGAUGAACAAAUGGAAGAAAAGAAGGAGGAGGUUGUUCAACCCUUGGAAGAGAAAGAAGAAGAUAAGAGGGAAGACGGUCUAGAAAAGAAGCCAAUGAACGAUAAGCGUCGUAGGCGCAAACGUUGGUCGAAGGGCUUUAUAAGCAAGCCUAAAAAAAAUUUACAUAAUGAUACAAAUUCAGAACCCCAUUCGACUCCGAUUAAAAGGUGCAAGUGUGAUGAAGAAGUGCUUGAAAAUGGACUAGACGAGUCUACAACACUGGACGAAAGCGUAUCUGUCCACGAGGAGGAGACAUCGCAAAAAGUGGUAGUCAACAAGGUGGAACUUGACGCCAUUUUCCAUCAGACAGUCGACGCCGCAGACAGCGCAAGCGGUUUUGAGCGUCUCCUCGAUCUCUACUCCGCCCUCGGAAAUAUCAUAGACUCAUACAGCAAAUCUUGGGAUCGGACCAAAAUGCCGUCGGAGCUGAAAGAGCAGUUGGACAAAUUCACCGCUCGUAUUGAAACUGAAAGUUCCGACACAAAAGAAGAAAUUGAAGACCAUGAAGAGGAAACCCAUUUUUAGAAAUUUUUCACCCUAGUUUUUAUUUAUAAUAUACCUUUUUGCCAGCUUGACUUAUAUUCUUUUGGUUGUUGAUGGUUUUUCUCUCUCUUCUAAUAACAACUACACCUCUUCACUGACAGCACGGGAAACGGCCAAAUUAAAGAGCAUGUGCGAGAGACUGAAAUAUACGUAUAAAAAGCAUGUGCUUGUAUGUCAUAAACAGGCAUACAAUAUAGGAAAUAUAUGUCCAAGAUGCAAAUCAGAAAAUAAAUAUAUAUAAAAAAAAUUAGACUGUAAGUAAUUUAUAAAUAAUU